rnacentral:lncRNA from 1 species
UAAAAGCCAAAACUUUAACCAACUGAGUAUAAUAAAGAAUGGAAUAACAAAAGAAAUCACCAGGCAUGUGAGACAGCACAGACAGGUUAUUCUAACAAAAUAAUAAAUAAUGGAACCAGGUCAUGCGUAAACGCACAGACAGGAUAUUCCAACAGAAUAAUAAAUAAUGGAACCAGGUCAUGCGUAAAUGCACAAACAUGAUAUUCCAACAGAAUAAUAAAUAACGGAACCAGGUCAUGCGUAAACACACAGACAGGAUGUUCCAACAUAAUAAUAAAGAAUGGAAUAACAGAAGAAUUUCACCAUGUAUGCGGUACUUCGCAUAGACAGGUUAUUCCAACGUAAUAAUAAAGUAUGGAAUAACAGAAGAAUU